GGAGACGUGGCCGAGAGGUCGAAGGCACUCCCCUGCUAAGGGAGCAUCCGGUCAAAAACUGGAUCGUGGGUUCGAAUCCCACCGUCUCCGCCA
rnacentral:tRNA from 1 species